rnacentral:tRNA from 1 species
AAGGGUAUAGCUCAGUGGUAGAGCGCGUGCUUAACAUGCACAAGGUCCUGGGUUCAAUCCCCAGUACCUCCA